rnacentral:rRNA from 1 species
GAGUUUGAUCCUGGCUCAGAUUGAACGCUGGCGGCAUGCCUUACACAUGCAAGUCGAACGGCAGCACGGGAGCUUGCUCCUGGUGGCGAGUGGCGAACGGGUGAGUAAUGCAUCGGAACGUAUCCUGGAGUGGGGGAUAACGUAGCGAAAGUCACGCUAAUACCGCAUAUUCUGUGAGCAGGAAAGCGGGGGACCUUCGGGCCUCGCGCUCUUGGAGCGGCCGAUGUCGGAUUAGCUAGUUGGUGAGGUAAAGGCUCACCAAGGCGACGAUCCGUAGCAGGUCUGAGAGGAUGAUCUGCCACACUGGAACUGAGACACGGUCCAGACUCCUACGGGAGGCAGCAGUGGGGAGUUUUGGACAAUGGGGGCAACCCUGAUCCAGCCAUGCCGCGUGAGUGAAGAAGGCCUCGGUUGUAAG